rnacentral:lncRNA from 1 species
CCCGACCGGAGAGCGCUGUGGGCGUUGGAGUUGUGGAGUUGCAGAGGUACCCAUUCUCUUCAAGAACCACCUUACAGUGACUACCCUGCUUUUUGACUGCAUACUAUUAAUGUGGAGUCCCCAUUGUUGCCGCUCUGUGCCUGUUCUUCUAUAAUCAUCCAUGACAAUUAACAAAAUGUAUGACACGUCUGGUACACCCUGCAUAUACCAGCUCCUCUCAACCCAAGAUAAAAAACAAAGCCGUAUCUAUUUCAGCUUUCCCGCUGCACAGCCUGCUACUCAGAGUGGUACCAUCUGUAAUCACUACUGUGCUCUGCAUUGGAGAGAAGCCGUAAGGAAUCUGUCAUCUUGUGUACGCUGCAAGAUUCCGUGCACCGAAAACUUCCCCUUACCAUUACCUGCUCACACCUGCUUAGGACAAUUAACAUGCAAAUCAUGUUAUGUGCAGAGGUGAGAAAUGGACAAAGCUCACUGAUGUUGUAUGGUAGCAGAGCUGACAGGUGUGUGGGUAGACCAGGUUAUUACAUUCUUCAUAUCUGCAAUACUUUACGCACCAGGUUGUUUUUGUUUUCCUUUUGAGGCUCGCUUGGCUUUUUCACCUCUCUGUUUCUUUGCUGAGGUUUUUGGACUUUUCAAGGUGGUCUUGCCAGAUCUGAGAUUUUUGGGCAUGUUUUCAGAAUCUCUAGAGAAAAUAGAUAUCAUCAACAAAUAGUAAGCAAACAGUGGAACGCACUGUGCAGGAGUGAAAAUUUGGCCCUUAAUUUUAUAUAUUUUAUUAUCACAGUCCAAUUUUCAUCCGCAGCUAACACUCCGGAAUUUAAAACAUAAAUUAUAUGGUAUGUAGCAGUUGGAAAUUCACCUGUCCAGGGUUACUAAAUACACAAGCUGAUUAUCAAAAGCAGUGAAAGGUUAAGUUAGAACAUGCAUUACCCUUUAAGAAAGCUGGAGAACUUGAGCUAUAAGGUAUAAAGUGUAGGUGAAGAUUCCACAGCUGUUCAUAUUUGUCCCAAUCUCCUUAAAGUGUAAAUCAUUACACAGGUGUACAAAGCAUUCUUGUGCUUUUGCAUUUCCAUUUAAUUUAUCAGUGGUAGCUCCGUGGAGGACAGAUUUGGAAAGAAACCAUGAAUGCAACACUUGAGCAGCUGGAGACUAUACUGUGCAGAAAACCACUUCUCUUUCACUUACUUCCCUCAUUCUCAGUAUUCAGCAUAAGGAUAAGAACAGCAGCGUAAUAAAGUCUCAUUUCCAUCGCAAAGAAAACGAAACCCAGCCUGCCCACUACACGGACCGGACGGCACAUCACCAGUAAAUACAGUCCCAGCACCAUCAUGUGGAAGAGAUCCGCAUAGCAUCCAGUAAAACUGAACCUCUAUGGUCCACAAACUGUAAUGAAAAGUACUGAAAUUUGUUUGAUGUUGCUAUUGAACAGCUAGAGGUAUUCAGCUCGGAUAAGGACAGUGGGACUCCCAGUGUUUGUGCUACAAUUACCCUUAGCAAUAGGAAAGAAACAUGAAGCCUCCCUCCCUCUCUUGCAUCUACCACUUUUCUUAGGACUAUAAGCUGACUGGCAGAGUAACUGGUUUUUUUAAUGUGUUACAAAACACCCACAGAAUGUGGGUACCACUUCACAAGUACCAGCAGAUUCACUUCUCAGAAUGCUGCAACCUUUGCCCUGCAAGAGUUGAUGGCUUUGGGAGAUUUAAAAAACAAACAUAAAUCAACACAAGUAAAUCAUGUGCUGUAAGGAUGUGACUGUAAGGAGGAAGUUCAUUUUUUUUUCUGUCCUCACUCACAGUCAUUUUGUGAAGUACAGAACUACAUACACUGAUUAUAUAUUUUUUUAUGUUUAAUGUUCAACGUUUUCCUAAUUGUAAUCUUUCAAAGGUGCCUCUACACUGAGUAAUGCAUGGUUUACAGUUCUGAAAUGCUUAAGGCUACCUUAACUUACCACAGAUCUUACUUCAGGUAGGUUAAAGAAAGUCAAUUUUCUCUCUCUCUCUC